CCCACGGGUGGCAGCAGUGGGGAAUAUUGGACAAUGGGCGAAAGCCUGAUCCAGCCAUGCCGCGUGUGUGAAGAAGGCCUUCGGGUUGUAAAGCACUUUCAGUGGGGAAGAAAGCCUUGGGGCUAAUACCCUCGAGGAAGGACAUCACCCACAGAAGAAGCACCGGCUAACUCCGUGCCAGCAGCCGCGGUAAUACGGAGGGUGCGAGCGUUAAUCGGAAUUACUGGGCGUAAAGCGCGCGUAGGCGGUCUGAUAAGCCGGUUGUGAAAGCCCCGGGCUCAACCUGGGAACGGCAUCCGGAACUGUCAGGCUAGAGUGCAGGAGAGGAAGGUAGAAUUCCCGGUGUAGCGGUGAAAUGCGUAGAGAUCGGGAGGAAUACCAGUGGCGAAGGCGGCCUUCUGGACUGACACUGACGCUGAGGUGCGAAAGCGUGGGUAGCAAACAGGAUUAGAUACCCGGGUAGUC
rnacentral:rRNA from 1 species